rnacentral:rRNA from 1 species
GGUUAAGUGACUAAGCGUACACGGUGGAUGCCCUGGCAGUCAGAGGCGAUGAAGGACGUGCUAAUCUGCGAAAAGCGUCGGUAAGGUGAUAUGAACCGUUAUAACCGGCGAUGUCCGAAUGGGGAAACCCAGUGCAAUUCGUUGCACUAUCGUUAACUGAAUACAUAGGUUAACGAGGCGAACCGGGGGAACUGAAACAUCUAAGUACCCCGAGGAAAAGAAAUCAACCGAGAUUCCCCCAGUAGCGGCGAGCGAACGGGGAGCAGCCCAGAGUCUGAAUCAGCUUGUGUGUUAGUGGAACGGUCUGGAAAGUCCGACGGUACAGGGUGAUAGUCCCGUACACCAAAAUGCACAGGCUGUGAACUCGAAGAGUAGGGCGGGACACGUGGUAUCCUGUCUGAAUAUGGGGGGACCAUCCUCCAAGGCUAAAUACUCCUGACUGACCGAUAGUGAACCAGUACCGUGAGGGAAAGGCGAAAAGAACCCCGGCGAGGGGAGUGAAAAAGAACCUGAAACCGUGUACGUACAAGCAGUGGGAGCACCUUCGGGUGUGACUGCGUACCUUUUGUAUAAUGGGUCAGCGACUUAUAUUCUGUAGCAAGGUUAACCGUAUAGGGGAGCCGCAGGGAAACCGAGUCUUAACUGGGCGUUAAGUUGCAGGGUAUAGACCCGAAACCCGGUGAUCUAGCCAUGGGCAGGUUGAAGGUUGGGUAACACUAACUGGAGGACCGAACCGACUAAUGUUGAAAAAUUAGCGGAUGACUUGUGGCUGGGGGUGAAAGGCCAAUCAAACCGGGAGAUAGCUGGUUCUCCCCGAAAGCUAUUUAGGUAGCGCCUCGUGAACUCAUCUUCGGGGGUAGAGCACUGUUUCGGCUAGGGGGUCAUCCCGACUUACCAACCCGAUGCAAACUACGAAUACCGAAGAAUGUUAUCACGGGAGACACACGGCGGGUGCUAACGUCCGUCGUGAAGAGGGAAACAACCCAGACCGCCAGCUAAGGUCCCAAAGUCAUGGUUAAGUGGGAAACGAUGUGGGAAGGCACAGACAGCCAGGAUGUUGGCUUAGAAGCAGCCAUCAUUUAAAGAAAGCGUAAUAGCUCACUGGUCGAGUCGGCCUGCGCGGAAGAUGUAACGGGGCUAAACCAUGCACCGAAGCUGCGGCAGCGACACUAUGUGUUGUUGGGUAGGGGAGCGUUCUGUAAGCCUGCGAAGGUGUGCUGUGAGGCAUGCUGGAGGUAUCAGAAGUGCGAAUGCUGACAUAAGUAACGAUAAAGCGGGUGAAAAGCCCGCUCGCCGGAAGACCAAGGGUUCCUGUCCAACGUUAAUCGGGGCAGGGUGAGUCGACCCCUAAGGCGAGGCCGAAAGGCGUAGUCGAUGGGAAACAGGUUAAUAUUCCUGUACUUGGUGUUACUGCGAAGGGGGGACGGAGAAGGCUAUGUUAGCCGGGCGACGGUUGUCCCGGUUUAAGCAUGUAGGCUGAUUAUCCAGGCAAAUCCGGAUAAUCAAGGCUGAGGUGUGAUGACGAGGCACUACGGUGCUGAAGUAACAAAUGCCCUGCUUCCAGGAAAAGCCUCUAAGCAUCAGGUAACAUCAAAUCGUACCCCAAACCGACACAGGUGGUCAGGUAGAGAAUACCAAGGCGCUUGAGAGAACUCGGGUGAAGGAACUAGGCAAAAUGGUGCCGUAACUUCGGGAGAAGGCACGCUGGUGUGUAGGUGAAGUCCCUGCGGAUGGAGCUGAGACCAGUCGAAGAUACCAGCUGGCUGCAACUGUUUAUUAAAAACACAGCACUGUGCAAACACGAAAGUGGACGUAUACGGUGUGACGCCUGCCCGGUGCCGGAAGGUUAAUUGAUGGGGUUAUCCGUAAGGAGAAGCUCUUGAUCGAAGCCCCGGUAAACGGCGGCCGUAACUAUAACGGUCCUAAGGUAGCGAAAUUCCUUGUCGGGUAAGUUCCGACCUGCACGAAUGGCGUAAUGAUGGCCAGGCUGUCUCCACCCGAGACUCAGUGAAAUUGAACUCGCUGUGAAGAUGCAGUGUACCCGCGGCAAGACGGAAAGACCCCGUGAACCUUUACUAUAGCUUGACACUGAACAUUGAGCCUUGAUGUGUAGGAUAGGUGGGAGGCUUUGAAGCGUGGACGCCAGUCUGCGUGGAGCCAACCUUGAAAUACCACCCUUUAAUGUUUGAUGUUCUAACGUUGGCCCCUGACCGGGGUUGCGGACAGUGUCUGGUGGGUAGUUUGACUGGGGCGGUCUCCUCCCAAAGCGUAACGGAGGAGCACGAAGGUUAGCUAAUCCUGGUCGGACAUCAGGAGGUUAGUGCAAUGGCAUAAGCUAGCUUGACUGCGAGCGUGACGGCGCGAGCAGGUGCGAAAGCAGGUCAUAGUGAUCCGGUGGUUCUGAAUGGAAGGGCCAUCGCUCAACGGAUAAAAGGUACUCCGGGGAUAACAGGCUGAUACCGCCCAAGAGUUCAUAUCGACGGCGGUGUUUGGCACCUCGAUGUCGGCUCAUCACAUCCUGGGGCUGAAGUAGGUCCCAAGGGUAUGGCUGUUCGCCAUUUAAAGUGGUACGCGAGCUGGGUUUAGAACGUCGUGAGACAGUUCGGUCCCUAUCUGCCGUGGGCGCUGGAGAAUUGAGGGGGGCUGCUCCUAGUACGAGAGGACCGGAGUGGACGCAUCACUGGUGUUCGGGUUGUCAUGCCAAUGGCACUGCCCGGUAGCUAAAUGCGGAAGAGAUAAGUGCUGAAAGCAUCUAAGCACGAAACUUGCCCCGAGAUGAGUUCUCCCUGAGACUUUAAGUCUCCUGAAGGAACGUUGAAGACGACGACGUUGAUAGGCCGGGUGUGUAAGCGCAGCGAUGCGUUGAGCUAACCGGUACUAAUGAACCGUGAGGCUUAACCUU